rnacentral:lncRNA from 1 species
AAAAAAAAAAAAAAGGGGGGGGGGGGGGGGAUUUUGGGGGGUUUUUUUCCUCCUUUUUUUUUUUUUUUUUCACCUAUGAGUGUAUGGUACAGUCGCAGCCUCCGCUGGAGGGCUAAGAAGGAAAUCGCAUCGGCUGCCGGGUAAAGAGCAGCCGCUCCAGGCAGCCCCCGGGAGAAACUCGCGCAAUGGAUGGAUGGAUGGAUGGACGGACGGAUGGAUGGGCUGGCAAGCGAAUCCAGAGGAAAUCCGGAGCUGGCCAGGCCCUUUGGAGUCCAGCAUCCCCGCCUGGAUUUGGGAUCACGACUCAACGGCGCUUCUGGCUUGGAUUCUCCUCCUCCUCCUCCUCUUCCUCCUCCUCUUCCUUCCUUUCGUCUGGCCCGCGGAACGUACAGUUGUGGAUUUAUUGUCGCGGUGCGUGCAAGAGCCAAUCUCCUCGCCGCCGCCGCCACCGCCGCCGCCGCCAGCACCACCGCCAGCAGCGCCACCAGCACCGCCAGCAGCUUUCUGACUCUCUUCGGUGACGGGUAUUCUUGGGUGGAUAAUACGGAUUACGUUGUUAUUGCUUAA